UCUGCCCUGUCUCCUCUCCUCUCCUCUGGCGCCAACUUACACGCAAUACACCCGAGCUGGCGAACUCCCCUCCGAUUCGCCGAACCAUCCAUCGGGCACGCCCCGCUCAUUCCCAAACCCCUCACGCCCCGCUCAUUCCACUCACACAAACACAAGCUUCCAUCCAGUUUUCCCCUCAUCAACGUUCUUCUAGCUAGCUGGUUGAGUGAGCUUGCUUUCGGGAGCAAGAAAGACAUGGCUCGCAUGGCGGCGUCGGUGCUAGCGAUCUUGCUAGCCUCUUGUGCCCUGGCGGCGGCGAGCUUCGACAAGGAGUUCGACAUCACCUGGGGCGACGGGCGCGGCAAGAUUCCGAACAACGGCCAGCUCCUGACGCUGGGGCUGGACAAGGUGUCUGGCUCCGGGUUCCAGUCCAAGCACGAGUACCUGUUCGGCAAGAUCGACAUGCAGCUCAAGCUCGUCCCCGGCAACUCCGCCGGCACCGUCACCGCCUACUACGUAAGCGACCAACAUAUCCAUUCAUUCCUCUGCUUCUCUUUUAUUAGAUGA
rnacentral:rRNA from 1 species